rnacentral:ncRNA from 1 species
GUGGCGGAAUUCGAAAAGCCUUACGAGUAGGAA